AUUAUCAACAUUCCCUCAACUUACACAUGCAAGUCUCAGCGCACCUGUGAGAACGCCCUUCCAACCUUCACCAGGUCAAGGAGCUGGCAUCAGGCUCUCUUCAUGCCCAUAACACCUAGUCUCACCACACCCCCAAGGGUAACCAGCAGUGAUAAAUCUUGUAUAUAAGCGACAGCUUGAUUCAGUCAGAGAGAUGAGAGCCGGCCAACCCGGUGCCAGCCGCCGCGGCUAAACCCCGGGGCUCAAGUUGAUAAUUAACGGCGUCAAGCGUGAUUAAAGUCCCCCCCAAUUAAGGUCAAAUUAAUAUUUAGUAGUAAUAAGCUUGUUAUUAAGAAGAACAUAAACGAAAGUUACCUUAAUGAUCUACUUGAAUACACGACAGCUGGGAAAACAAACUAAGAUCAGAUACCCUACUAUGCCCAGCCGUAAACAAUUAACUCACACCCACCAGCGCCAGGGAAUUACGAGCUAUGCUUAAAACCCAAAGGACUUGACGGUGUCCCACCCCCCUAGAGGAGCCUGUUUUGUAAUCGAUAAUCCCCGCUAUACCUCACCAUUUUUAGCUUUAUCAGUCUGUAUACCUCCGUCGAAAGCCUACCAUGUGAACGUUCAACAGUAGGCAUAAUGAUCCCGCACAUCAAUACGUCAGGUCAAGGUGCAGCUUACGAAAUGGAAGCUAAUGGGCUACAAUUUCUAAUUUAGAACAAACGGAAGCCUGCAUGAAACUGCAGCCACAAAGGUGGAUUUAGUAGUAAAAAGAAAAUAGAGAGUUCUUUUUAACCCGGCCCUGGGACGUGUACAAACCGCCCGUCACCCUCUUCGACAGCUACNNCUUAGAUUAAUAACCCUAUAUUGCACC
rnacentral:ncRNA from 1 species